UGAGGCAGGAGAAUUGCUUGAACCCAGGAAGCGGAGGUUGUGGUGAGCCAAGAUCGUGCCACUGUACUCCAGCCUGGGUGACAGAGUGAGACUCCAUCUC
rnacentral:miRNA from 1 species